AGGACGGUGCGGAGUUUUUGCCGUUUCCUCCGUUUAAGGUCCGCCGAAGGAGAACGGCGACAGGCGGCCACGAACU
rnacentral:ncRNA from 1 species